AAAAAUCCAGAAGCAGAGCAUUUUGUCCCUCCUGGAGAGGGACAUGUUGGGAGAUUUGCUGGGAGUUUAUUCUGUCUCCUUGCAGUGACUCCUUGUGCCCUACCUAAUUCCAGCACAGAUUAUCAUGAAAAGUCAUGGCUGCUUUGGGGAUUCUUAGCUAUGAGCAGAGACCUCUGAAAAGACCACGACUUGGACCACCUGAUGUCUACCCACAGGAUCCCAAGCAGAAAGAGGAUGAACUAACUGCGGGGAAUGUAAAACAAGGAUUCAGUAACCAACCGGCCUUUUCUGGAGACGAGCAUGGAUCUGCCAGGAGCAUUGUCAUUAACCCAUCGGAGAUUGGAGCAUAUUUUAGCAGCAUUUUAGCUGAAAAGUUAAAACUAAACACAUUUCAGGACACUGGGAAGAAAAAGCCACAAAUUAAUGCCAAAGACCACUAUUGGCUGGUGACCACUCACUCUCAAAGUGCUAUUCACAGCUGGUUUAUGGAUCUGGCUGGUAACAAACAUCUGACUGUUUUAGCUAAAAAGGUACCCAUUCUUAGCAAGAAAGAAGAUAUUUUUGUAUACCUGGCCAAAUACUCAGUGCCACUAUUGCGAGCUGCCUGGUUAGUGAAGAUGACUUGCGCAUACUAUGCUGCUAUUUCAGAAGCCAAAAUAAAGAAACGUCAAUCAGCUGAUCCAAAUAUAGAAUGGACCCAAAUAUUAACAAGGUAUCUCCGAGAACAACUGGUGAAGAUUGCUGAUUUUUACCAUACAAAUUCCAGCCAGUGCAUUAGUCCUGUGGUUGUGUCGCAAGAUGUGGAACAGGCUUUCAAGCACUGGAAAUACAAUGAGAAAUUAGCAUUUUACAUGUUUCAAGAAGGUUUGUUAGAAAGACAUGAAUACUUAACAUGGAUGCUGGAUGUUUUAGAAAAAGUCCACCCACUGGCUGAUGAGCUUCUGAAAAUCUUAUUACCCCUCAUCUUACAGCACUCUGAGGAAUUUGUGCAAUCAUCAUACUUGUCUCGUCGCCUCGCCUACUUCUGUUCCCGACGCCUCUCUGCUCUGUUGAAUGAUUGUGCGAACCCUGUCACAGUGCACACACCCAUUAUCAUGAUGGGCCCAAACAAUCCUCCUAUGACUGCUCCAAGUCCCAGUGCGUCAGGACCAGUGGUCACUUCUGUCCAUCUGCCCUGUGUUGAUUUCCAGUCAUGUCCUCAACACCGCCCACUGGUGUACGGUCUUAGCUGUAUGUUGCAGACUAUCACUCUUUGUUGUCCAAGUGCCUUGGUGUGGAACUAUUCCACAAAUGAAAGUAAAAACACAAAUCCAGGUUCUCCUCUGGAUCUUCUUCAGGUCGCCCCAUCCAGUUUGCCUAUGCCUGGUGGAUACUCACCUUUCAAUCAGCAGGUUCGAGCAAAAAUUUUUGAAGUGGAACAGCAGAUCAAACAAAGGGGUCGAGCCGUGGAAGUCCGGUGGUCAUUUGACAAGUGCCAAGAAUCGGCUGCAGGGGUUACUAUUAGCAGAGUUUUGCACACAUUGGAGAUCUUAGACCGCCAUUGUUUCGACAGACUGGACUCCAGUAACUCUUUGGAUACCUUGUACCAUAGAAUAUUUUGUAUGAACCAAAAUAAGGACAGCCAAGAGCAGGUGCCUCCUAAUGAUGAAGCAGUGGUCACUUUACUUUGCGAGUGGGCGGUUAGUUGCAAAAGGUCUGGAAAACACAGAGCCAUGGUGGUGGCCAAACUCCUAGAAAAGAGACAACUGGAGGUGGAGGCCGAGCGAUGCAGUGACUUAGAGGUCAUGGAUGAGAAGGAAUCUAUCUCUUCUGGUUCUCUUGCUGGAUCAAGCUUACCCAUUUUCCAGAAUGUCCUGCUUCGAUUUUUAGAUUCACAAGCUCCGUCUCUCAGUGACCCAAACAACGAACAUGAAAAAAAGGAAUUUGUAAAUUUAGUGUUACUUUUCUGCGAGUUCAUCCGUCAUGAUAUAUUUUCACAUGACGCCUACAUGUGUACUCUAAUAUCACGUGGUGAUUUGUCUGCAAGAUCUCAUUCGCCCGUUGGAGAACAUAUGGAUGACAGUUACGCAAAAGAUCUUCCUGCCAAGCUGGAGGAACAUGGCUUAGGAGACCAAAUGGAAAUUGACUCAGGAACUGCCCACAUAUUUCAUGGCAUUGAGAAAAAUGACUUGAGGACGGAGUUUGCCUCAGAAUUUCCGAUAUUUUCACCAGCUUCUGGAGACUGUCAUCAAUGCAACCCUCCAUCGCUGCAUCAAAGAGUGUCUGGCGCUACUGAAAAAUCCGUAAAGAGAGAAAUCAUUUUUCCAUCCAGCUAUGAGCUUCUUCGCCACUUACAGUAUGCAACACACUUUCCCAUUCCUCUGGAAGCAUCAUCGAGUCAUGAAUGUAACCAGAGAAUGAUUCUGCUGUACGGCGUGGGAAGACAGCGAGCCGAGGCCAGGCACCAGCUUCGGAAAUUAACCAAAGAUCUCUUGAAGAUUUUGAAUACAAAUGGCGCAAGUGAUACUGCUGUUGCAGAUGAUGGGCAAAGGACGAGGAAGACCGAGCAUGAAACAUUCCCAACUAUGGAGAGCACAUUUUCCAGGCUGCAGCACCUGUCCUAUUUUGACCAACAUCAUGUAACAUCCCAGAUAUCAGUGAAUGUACUGGAACAAAUUACAAGCUUUGCUUCAGGAACAUCUUACCAUCUUCCUCUGGCUCACCAUGUCCAACUUAUAUUUGAUUUAAUGGAACCCGCCCUCAACAUCAAUGGUCUCAUUGAUUUUGCAGUACAGCUGCUCAAUGAACUCAGCAUUGUGGAAGCAGAAUUGCUGUUGAAAUCCUCCAACCUGGCAGGAAGUUACACAACGCGACUGUGUUUGUACAUUGUGGCCGUGCUGAGGCGUUACCAUGCCUGCUUAAUUUUAAACUCUGAUCAGACAGCGCAAGUUUUUGAAGGGCUGUGUGGUGUGGUGAAGCAUGUCGCCAAUCCAUCUGAAUGCUCAUCUCCAGAACGCUGCAUUCUGGCUUAUCUGUAUGAUCUAUACAUGUCAUGUAGUCACUUACGGAGUAAGUUUGGAGAUCUCUUCAGCAGUGCUUGUUCUAAGGUAAAGCAGACCAUAUACAGUAAUGUACAGCCUUCCAACUCUAAUGUGUUAUGGGAUCCAGACUUCAUGGCCGACUUCAUAGAGAACCCAUCAGUGCACAAUAUUAAUCACAUAAUGCUGGGAAAGAUCCUCAGUGACAAUGCAGCCAACCGUUACAGCUUUGUGUGCAAUGUUCUCAUGAAUGUGUGUAUGGGGCACCAAGAGCCAGAGCGGAUCAAUGAUAUAUCUAACCUCUGCGCAGAACUGACAGCUUGCUGCACAGUACUCAGCUCAGAAUGGCUGGGAGUACUGAAGGCUCUGUGUUGCUCCUCCAAUCACGUGUGGGGCUUUAAUGAUUUACUCUGCAGUGUGGAUGUUAGUGAUCUUUCAUUUCACGACUCACUGGCCACUUUUGUUGCUGUUCUAAUAGCACGGCACUGCUUUUCACUGGAAGAUUUGGUGCAGCAUGUCGCUCUUCCAUCCCUCCUGGCUGCAGCUUGUGGUGAUCCAGAUGCUGAGCCUGGUGCCAGAAUGACGUGCCGCCUUCUCCUACAGCUACUGAGAACACCUCAGGUCUGCUCAUUUGGGCCAACAAGUGGAAAGAUGGCUCCAGGCAUAUGUUCUUCCUGUGACAGACAUCUUCUGGCAGCGGCUCAUAACAGCAUUGAAGUGGGUGCAGUGUUUGCUGUCCUCAAAGCUAUCCUGAUGCUGGAUGCAGAAAUUGGUAGUAAUAUCAGCUCUUCUAAGUACAAUAAAAGUGGCAUAAUGGAAGACUCUGCAGACGAGAAGAUUUUAGAGUCUCAAACACCUCUACAAUCAUCUGGAAAACCAUUUGUAAUAGAAACUGCAAGUUUAAGCGAAUAUGCUAAAUAUGUUCUGAGAACAAUUUGCCAACAGGACUGGGUUGGAGAUCAUUGUUUGAAAGAGCCAGAGAGACUGUGUACAGAUAAAGAUCUCAUUCUGGAUCCUGUUUUGUCAAAUAAACAAGCACGUAAACUACUACAACUGAUUUGUUAUCCUUAUGGAGUAAGAGAGUCGGUAGAAGGAGACAACAUACAAAGGCUCCAUAUUAAGAAUAUCCUGCAGAACCUCGAGCAGUGGACACUCAGACAGUCGUGGCUAGAGAUUCAGCUGAUGAUCAAGCAAUGCAUGAAGGAACCUGGCUCUAGUUCAGUGACUGAGAUGAAUACGCUUUUGGAUAAUAUAGCAAAGGCGACAAUAGAAGUCUUCCAGCAGUCUGCAGAACUGAACAGCAGCUCCAGUAACCCUGGCAGUGGUCUAUUCAAGGCAAGCUGUGCUGGACGUACUGAGACAAACAGUGCAAGACAUAAUGGGAAAUCUGCCAUCCUCAGCUCAUCUGAACGUAGGGGCGUUUGGCUUGUGGCACCUCUUAUUGCUAAAUUACCAACCUCAGUCCAGGGUAGAGUGUUGAAGGCUGCAGGAGAGGAACUGGAGAAUGGACAGCACUUGGGGUCAUCCUCCAAGAAAGAACGCGAUAGGCUGAAACAAAAAAGCAUGUCACUGCUGAGUCAGCAUCCGUUCCUGUCAUUGGUGCUGACCUGCUUAAAGGGCCAGGAUGAACAGCGGGAAGGGCUCCUGACAUCGCUACAAAACCAAGUGAACCAGAUUCUGUGUAACUGGAGAGAGGAGAAAUACCAGGAUGAUGUGAAAGCUCGGCAGAUGAUGCACGAGGCUCUACAAUUGCGCCUUAAUUUGGUUGGCGGCAUGUUUGAUACGGUACAAAGAAGCACACAACGGACGGCAGACUGGGCUAUUUUGCUACUACAGAUUAUUACUUCUGGAACAGUUGACUUGCAGACAAACAAUGAAUUAUUCACAACUGUUCUUGAUAUGCUGAGUGUCCUAAUAAAUAAAACGCUAGCCUCUGAUCUCUCCAGUGUGUCUCAAGGAAGCUCGGAAGAGAACAAAAGGGCUUAUAUGAACUUGGUGAAAAAGCUUAAGAAAGAACUUGGUGAUAAACGAUCAGAGAGUAUUGAUAAGGUCCGCCAGCUUCUGCUCUUGCCAAAGCAGACAUGUGAUGUGAUUACUUGUGAGCCGAUGGGAUCUCUUAUUGACACAAAAGGCAAUAAAAUUGCAGGAUUUGACUCGAUUGAUAAGAAACAGGGCCUUCAAGUUUCAUCCAAACAGAAAGUUUCUCCUUGGGAUUUAUUUGAGGGUCACAAAAAUGUAGCUCCGCUGUCCUGGGCCUGGUUUGGGACUGUUCGUGUAGAUAGAAAAGUGAUAAAGUGUGAGGAGCAGCAUCACCUUCUCCUGUACCACAAACAUCCAAAGCCCAAACCUCGCAGUUACUACCUCGAGCCCCUGCCACUUCCGGCAGAAGAAGAAGAGGAAGAGGAUGAACCUGCUACUCCAGUGUCCACGGACCCAGAGGGCAAGGCAACAGAGUUUUCUGAUCUUGGUAAAUCAGUAACUGAUGAAGAAAAAAAAUCCAAAAGCAGAAAGCGCAAGAGCAAGAGCAACCCACGGACAGAUGGAUAUCCUCAAAAUCCUGCAUAUCGAGUACCAUCUAAUUGUUCACCUCUGUCCUCUCAAAUGAUACAUCACACCCCGGCUAAUACAUGGAGUUACAAUAUUAUGGGACCGCAGCAGUCCAACCUUUUCUUGCAGAACCAGGUCCUCCCGUCAGGUGGCUCCAGACUGGACCCUGCCGCCACUUUUGUUCCUACAAACACAAAACAAGCCCUGUCAAACAUGCUACAGAGACGCUCAGCCACCAUAAUGCAGCCACCUUCCAUGCAAGCAAUAAACUCCCAACAGCAACUACUGCAACUGAAGCUACUGCAGCAGCAGCAACAACAACAGAGGAUCCUCAGACAACACAUCCAAGCAAGAACAAUUCAGCAGGGCCAAACAAUAGAACAGGCUACUAUAUUUUCUCAACAAAUACGUCCACCUUCCCAGCCUUACACAGGCAUUCAGCAAGCACAGCCUAUUCCACAUGGGUAUACAAUGUACAGUACUCAGGUGCCAGUUCAGCAACAUCAAGGUGGGAGUGUUCUAGUUUCACUCAGUUAUAACACGCGAGCCAAUCCUGCUGCUCCUCCUAGCUCCACACUUAUCGAACGGCUGCAACAGAUACAGCAACAGCCUACUGGAUACAUACAGCAGCAGGGAACUGCCUUCAUACAACCCACAGCAAGUAAUCAACGAUUCGCCCAUCCACCCUUGCAGCAGAGCCCUGUGAUUGGAGGAGGUGUGGAACAAGGAGCCACUCAAGCUCCUCUCUCCAUUAGCACAGUGCAGCUGAAUCAGGAACAAAUGAGACAAAGACAGCAGCAGAUUCAUCAGCAGAGACUUGUACAGCUGCAGCAGCAACAGAAUCAGCAAGAAACAGGUCUCCAAGUAAUGCAAGCACAGCAGCCGUUGGUAUCAUUCCCCAUCCAAGGCUUACAACAGACUCAGCAACAACAGCAAACUGCAGCCUUAGUCAGACAACUUCAGAAACAGCUUUCAAUGUACGUCCCUGCCUGCCCGUAGUGAUGACAGCCCAGCCUCCCCUGUGGAUUAUGCCUGCGCCUCCUCCCGCCGAUGGUCUGCAGCCGGGUUCUGUGUGAACCGCAAGCUGCUGGUUUCCAUGGUGACGGCUGUUUCCGGAAGUGGGUGUCUGACGUGAGCGGAAGCAGAGUGAGUAGCGGGCGCGCACAUGACGGACGAUGGCGGCGGGACUACUGUGGUAUUUAGGAGGGUAACCAGCCCCAACAAGCAGUACAUUUAUAUGGAGAUCCUUCCAGUUUCUAAACCCGGACACACAAGUCUUGACUUUUGUUCUUCUUACACUGUAUCAUUUGGAAAGCCUUAGUUAUAUGAUUGUACUGAGUGUGUGGAUAGCUGCACAAUAGUUAGUCUGUAUUUGAUGCUUUGUUUACUCUGCGGCCUACUGAACACCAGGCCUGUUUAUAUUGAUUUCUUGCUACUAUAACAAUAAGGACAAAGGACAUUGCGGAUUAGACUGCUGACUGUACAACUGCACCGGACCAAAUUACAGCUAAACAGUGAGAA